UGUCGCGGCACAUUUUUCCCUUUUUUGCUCCCCUCCCCUCCCUCCCUUCGAACUUUGGCUCUCGUGCGUGUGCGCGCUUUCCUUCGUUUUGUUGUUCUCUCUCCUCUCUUGUGGUUCACCGUCUUCGUUGGCUUUCUUGGCUCUCUGCUGCGCACGUACGUGUGCGGGUGUGCUGGUGUUGUCCCCGUGUCCUCUUGUGUGCACGCAGAUAUACAUACGCACAUGCUUAUACGCACGCCUAUACACACACACACAGCCCGACCUUCUCCCCCCUCCCCUCGUCCGCUGUUCCGCGUCACAGCCCUCCGUCGUUCGAUCUCUCACCUCCUCCGUCUCUUGCCCAGGGCGCCACUCCGCCUUUUCCACUCUUCUUCUCACCUUCCCUCUAUACACAGGCGUGAUGUCCGCGGAAGACACCCCCAUCUCGCUCUUCCUGCAGGCGUGCAACCAGGAGGGCGUCAAGACACCCAAUCCGAAGCUGGUGGGGUUCUUUCAGAGCCACGAAACCUUCGACAGCAUCCUUGAGAUCGACCUCAGCAACAACUACAUCGGCAACCGCGGCCUGCUGGCAGUGCUGGACGUCAUUGGGCAUCUGAGCUGCUUCCGCUGCCUCAACGCCAUGGACCAGAAGCUGUACAACUCAGACUUCAGCGAGGAAGCUGUCAAGGGCAAUGCCGUGAUUGACCGCAUCGUGGAAGUGUUCAAGGUGCACCCCACCGCCAACUCGCUCAACCUCAGCAACAACCCCAUCUCGAACUACGCGGGGCGUAAGCUGCUCUCCCUGGCGCAGGUGAACCGCCGCAUGUGCCUCAUCGAGGUGAGCGACACCCGCAUAGACUUUGAUCUUCGCAACAAGAUUGCGAAGCAGUGCGAGGAGAACACCCGCAACAUGUGGGACGCCGAGCAGGAUGAGAACGCAAAUUCGGGCGCCGCCUUCGGCGAGAACCUGGAGUGGGUGCCGACCCAGGCCACGGCGGACCUGACGUCGCUCGGCGCCGGCCGGGCUCGUCGCCAGACAGUACGGGUCGAGGGCAUUGACCCUGAGGCGGCCAAGAACUACGUGCCCCCGGUGCAUGAAAAGUCGCAGGAAGACACGGAUAUGAUUUGCGAGCUGCUGAGCCACAACGUGCUCUUCGGCUUCCUCGGCAGCAAGGACAUCCUAACUGUGGCGGGAGCGAUGUACCGCGAGGAGUUCGUGAAGGACGAGUGCAUCAUCGAGUUCGGCCAGACCCACUGCGACAAGCUCUACGUUAUUCAGAGCGGUGAGGCAGAUAUUAUAAAAGAGGGCCAAAAAGUGUUCGUCAAGACGGAGGGCACGGCGGUGGGCGAGCUGGAGCUGCUGUACGACACGCCUGCCGUUGCAACCGUGAAGGUGUCCACGGAGGCGCUGGUGGCGUGGGUGCUGGACCGCGAAACGUACCGCAACCUCGUCAUGGGCUCCUGCAUCCGCCGCCGUGAAACGUACAUGUCGAUGCUGGCCAAGGUUCCAUUCCUGCAGAGCCUCGACGCCUACGAGCGCAUGCAGAUCGCAGACGCCCUCACGAGCGACGAGUUCGCUGCCGGCGACUACAUCAUCCACUACGACGAGGAGGGCGAGUGGCUUUACAUCAUUAUCGAAGGCACCGUGGAGGUAAUCGGUCGCGAUGCGGCCGGCAACAAGACGAAAGUUUGCGAGUUCCACAGCGGUGACCACAUCGGCGAGCUGGAGUUCCUCAACGAGCACCGCACUGUUGCGGACAUCGUGGCCGUCACGGACGUCACGACGGCGAAGCUGAACCGCCGGCAUUUCGAGAUGUGCAUGGGCCCCGUCAUGGACGUGUUGAAGCGGAAUAGCACCUCUGCCAAGUACGACUACUACCAGCAAGUGCUCCAGCAGCAACAGCAGGGUGCCCCGGCGGCGGUCCAGUAAGAAGACACGUGCAACGGGGUGGGAGGGAGGGAGGGGGCCGCGCAAGGGGCAACCGCGCUUCGAUCACGACGAAGGGCGAAGGGGCGCGCGGUCGGCGCUGCUCCUUGCACGCCAACGAUACCCUUCCCCCUUCCUCUCCGCCUACUCGCUCUCUCCUGUAACAUGGACCAACCGGCGCACGACUCUUUUCUUGUUUAACGUUGCACGCUCGUGUAUAUUAGUGCUCUCUCUAUCUCCCCCCUAUUCGAUGUACAGCAUCAUGUGUAGAAGACACACGCCGACACACGCACGCAUCCAUGCAUGCAGGCAAAGAGGCCGAGCGAGUGUAUAACGGUGCAUGGACGG
rnacentral:misc_RNA from 1 species